AGGAGGAACAGCCCCAGUGGCGGGGCAGCUCUGGAAACCUGGAUUCAGCUCCGGCCUGCAGGGCCUGGAGGCUCCGGGGCGGG
rnacentral:pre_miRNA from 1 species